UGGGGAAUAUUGCACAAUGGGGGAAACCCUGAUGCAGCAACGCCGCGUGAAGGAAGACGGUCUUCGGAUUGUAAACUUUUGUUCUUGGUGAAGAAAAAUGACGGUAGCCAAGGAGGAAGCCACGGCUAACUACGUGCCAGCAGCCGCGGUAAUACGUAGGUGGCGAGCGUUGUCCGGAAUUAUUGGGCGUAAAGGGAGCGCAGGUGGGAAAGUAAGUCAGUCUUAAAAGUUCGGGGCUCAACCCCGUGAUGGGAUUGAAACUACUUUUCUUGAGUGCAGGAGAGGAAAGCGGAAUUCCUAGUGUAGCGGUGAAAUGCGUAGAUAUUAGGAGGAACACCAGUGGCGAAGGCGGCUUUCUGGACUGUAACUGACACUGAGGCUCGAAAGCGUGGGGAGCGAACAGGAUUAGAUACCCUGGUAGU
rnacentral:rRNA from 1 species